AUUCAGACAGAACGUUCUUAGUUAUGCCUCCAAUACCACUGAAGGAUUUGUGCAGCUCCUACUGCUCAUCCUGUCUCUGCAGGUCAGCAGUCGUUUUACAGAAAGACACGCAGAGUUAGGGAACUGGUCUCAGGUCAUGGGACAAGAAUGGGUGAGUUCACCAGCUAUGUAUUCUCGCACACAUGUGGCACAGUUAGCUCAGAACCAGAUAUUUCCAUUCUAGCAAUUAUGCUUAUAUCAAAGAAAGUACAGACUUUUCACCAUAAGCCAGAACUUGAUAAAAACUUUCAUCUUGAUAAGUUGAAAAAAACCCAAACCUCUCAAUUAAGUUACAACACUGUCUGACACAGUAGAAAAGGGCAACAGAAGCAGGGAGAGUAACACUCAUGUAAGAAUAAAGUGUCAGCAAACUCAGAAUCAUGUUAGUCUCACUCAGCAUAAAGUGUUUUCAAUCUAUUCUGUAUCCCAUUUGAGUAGUGUGACUUUACUGGCAAUUCUGAGUUAUCUGAUAACUUGUAUUCUACCUGUAACCAUCAGCACCACCCCUACCCAACCCAGAUAUUUAACAUGCAUCUCUAAUAAGACUUUAAAAACCCACAGCAUUACAACCCCACAAAAAUAACCACAAUUUAA
rnacentral:lncRNA from 1 species